rnacentral:rRNA from 2 species
AAACUUUCAACAACGGAUCUCUUGGUUCCGGCAUCGAUGAAGAACGCAGCGAACUGCGAUAAGUAGUGUGAAUUGCAGAAUUCAGUGAAUCAUCGAGUCUUUGAACGCACAUUGCGCCCCCUGGUAUUCCGGGGGGCAUGCCUGUCCGAGCGUCAUUG